rnacentral:lncRNA from 1 species
AAAAAAACCCACAACAAAAAAAAAUUAAAAAAAUGAGAAAAAACAAAAAAAAAGAAAAAAAAGAUACUUGUGUCAUGAUGUUCAACGAAUGAUCCAUUGUAAAUUUAAAUGCCAUUUUUCACUGUACUGGUGAACAAAAUGCAAUGAAUAAAAUACAUUCAUGUACCCAGGUGAAGCCGGCAGCCGCCUGCUCCUUUCUGUCCCUUCCUCGCGUCAGCUGGUUUUUGGGGUGCCUGUGGGAUGGGGGGGCACAGCGAGGGUGGGGACUGACCCCGGAGCCCUUCACGGGCUCCCAGUGCAGGGGGAGCCACUGGCUGACCCACUUAUGCCUUUCGCCUGAAAUAGCAAGCCAGCAGCUCGCGCCUCUGUGGUGUCAGCGCCGUCCCGCCCAAGAGGGGUCCCCUCUGCACACCCCAAAGGGAGCUGGUGCCCAGAGAGCCCUGGGGACACUGCCAGCAGAACCCAUGCACCCUCCACACCAGCUCCCAGGUGCAGCCAGUGCUGCCAGCACACAGUGGCACGCCUGUCAUCCACCCCGGCACUCGUGUGUCGCCACACUGCUGGCCCCAGGCACGGGGGAACAUGGGCCAAGUAUGUGUGGCACACCGGGCUUGUCAGCACAGCCAGGAGUGGGGCUGGACAGGCACAGAGGCAGAUGUGCUGCCCCUCCUGCCCUAUGGCACUCCCGGCCCCGUGCUGGCACAUCCCAGCCUGGAUCCCUCGCUACCUGGCCAGGGGUGAUAAUUACACGGUGUCCUUGCAAACCCCCAUGGCCAGGGAGGCUGGGACAGGGGUCCUGGUAUAGGAUGGGGGGAAUGGGGUGGAGCAGAGGGCACCCCUGGUCCUGCCCUCCAUACCCAGUGCCUGCAUCCCCAUUCUGCUCUCAGCCUGGCUGCCUGUGCCAAGGGGAAGGGAUGGGGGGCAGGGAGCCACUCCCCGCAAGAUGGAUGGGUGAAAUUAAACCCGAUUUGGUUUCAUUACUGGCUGCAAAGCCUGGAGUCCUGGCUGCUCUCCAGCUCAGCGAGGAAAGGCCAGGGAGGGGGCACAGAAUCACCAAGGCAGGCCAUGAAUCCCCCUCUUUCCUCCCAUACUCACAUCACUGGGCAGCUUGCAGUGGGAUGCACCGGUUCCCUAUGCCCCACCUGUGAGGAUGGAGCAUUUUAAGGCUUUAUUGGGUGUGGGGAGGUCGGCAAAGCCUCCUGGGUCACAGCUGGAUGGCAAGGAGAUAGUCCUCAUCGUCG